GACGAACGCGGGCGGCGUGCUUAAUACAUGCAAGUAGGACGCACAGCCUAUACCGUAGCUUGCUACACCAUAGGCUGUGAGUUGCGAACGGGUGAGUAACGCGUAGGUAACCUGCCUAUUAGAGGGGGAUAACUAUUGGAAACGAUAGCUAAUACCGCAUAACAGUAUGUAACACAUGUUAGAUGCUUGAAAGAUGCAAUUGCAUCGCUAGUAGAUGGACCUGCGUUGUAUUAGCUAGUAGGUAGGGUAAUGGCCUACCUAGGCAACGAUACAUAGCCGACCUGAGAGGGUGAUCGGCCACGCUGGGACUGAGACACGGCCCAGACUCCUACGGGAGGCAGCAGUAGGGAAUCUUCGGCAAUGGGGGGAACCCUGACCGAGCAACGCCGCGUGAGUGAAGAAGGUUUUCGGAUCGUAAAGCUCUGUUGUUAAGGAAGAACGAGUGUGAGAAUGGAAAGUUCAUACUGUGACGGACUAACCAGAAAGGACGCAU
rnacentral:rRNA from 1 species